GGCCGAAGGCUUUUGAGGAAGAUCAUGCGAGUGAGCGUGGAAGUGGAGCCACCCCAGCUUUCAGAUGACCACAGUCUCAGCCAGCAUCUUGACAGCAACUGCACGAGAGACCCUGAGCCAGGGCCACCCAGCUAAGCUGCUCCUGCAUUUAUGACCAUCGGAAACUGUGUGAGAUGGGGAAACCGAGGCACAGAGAAGCAAAGUGACCUUACCGGAGCCACACAGUGGUAGGGUCAGGCUCCAAACCCAGGUCUUUCUGAGUCCCCAGCCCACUGCACCAUCUUGCCUGGUGGCGCAGUGAUUGAGAACCCACCUGCCAAUGCAGGGGACAUGGGUUCUAUCCCUGCCCCAGGAAGACACCACAUGCUCCGCAACAAGAGAAGCCACUGCAACGAGGAACCCCUGCACCACAAGGAAGAGUAGCCCCUGCUCGCUGCAGCUAGAGAAAGCCCGUGUGCAGCAACA